UCAACAUGAGAGUUUGAUCCUGGCUCAGAACGAACGCUGGCGGCAGGCUUAACACAUGCAAGUCGAGCGCCCCGCAAGGGGAGCGGCAGACGGGUGAGUAACGCGUGGGAAUCUACCUUUUGCUACGGAAUAACGCAGGGAAACUUGUGCUAAUACCGUAUGUGUCCUUCGGGAGAAAGAUUUAUCGGCAAGAGAUGAGCCCGCGUUGGAUUAGCUAGUUGGUGGGGUAAAGGCCUACCAAGGCGACGAUCCAUAGCUGGUCUGAGAGGAUGAUCAGCCACAUUGGGACUGAGACACGGCCCAAACUCCUACGGGAGGCAGCAGUGGGGAAUAUUGGACAAUGGGCGCAAGCCUGAUCCAGCCAUGCCGCGUGAGUGAUGAAGGCCCUAGGGUUGUAAAGCUCUUUCACCGGAGAAGAUAAUGACGGU
rnacentral:rRNA from 1 species